rnacentral:lncRNA from 1 species
CUGAAAAGUAAGAAAAGUUAAGCACAAUAUUAGACAUGCCCUAAUUUUUAGGAAAAUGGAUUGUGUUGUAAUGAUUAGCUCUUUGCCACAAACCAGGAGAGGAAAUCCUACAAACCAGGAAAUUCUUCAAAGCAGAAAGAUUCCAGAACAUUGGGGGAGUGACAGGCUGUUGCUUUCCCCUAACAGUCAGAAGAGCCAGGAGGAUUUUUCUGUCAGGUUAUUCUGGGGUAGACCUAGAGAGUCAGAUAUUCCCUCUUCUGUGGCUUUUCUUGAGAUUCUGCCUUUCCCUGCUGCUGCUGAAGAGUGAUUUUCAACAGAGCUGCUGCUAGUGAUUUUCUACUGGGACUUCUCCAGACUCAUCAGCAAGAGGACAUCAGUUGUGAGACUCCAUUGGCCUUGUUCCUAUUCAUACAAGCCCUUCUUUAAUCUUAAGUAGUAAUUAAAGAAUUAAUUAGAAUACUAUAGAAAGUUGUCAGUGGGUUAGUACACUGACUUUUGGGGUUUAAGAUUAGAUCUUCCAAUUCCCUUCUUUUCCUUAGCUUAAUAAAUAGUAUAAGUUAUUUAUUUAAGAGUCUAUUAUUCUACUCAUCUAUUUCCAUUGAAGAACAAGAUUAGAAGAGAUUGAAAACAUUAUACAGAACUUGGAUUUUAAGAAAUCAUAUGUAGAAUGUUGAUAAGAAGUAUGGGAAAUCCUUAAGAAUGAAAUUCUUAAGUUUCCAAUGAGGAAAAAAAGUUAUACUAACUUUAAAAAGGCUGAUAUUGAUGCAAAGGGAACUUAUAAACUAUCUUAGUAAUUCAUAAGAUCCAGAAAGGAAGCAUAUUGUAGUGGAUGCAGAGCUGGCCUCAAAGCCAGGAAUACUUCAAUUAAAAUCCACCUCUGAAUUUAGCAAAGGAGCUGAGGAAAAGGUUCAAGUCAGUUGCCUAUUUCUUUGCAUCUCCUUCUUGUCCUUCUUCCACCCUCCAAGAGGUAAUGUGAGAUCAUGGAUAGAUACUGGACUAGGAAUCAACAAUGUUUGAGUUUAAAUCUCACCUCAGACACUAGCUGUGUGGCCUUGGGUGAGGAUUCUAAGGGCAAGGGAGUUCACAUGGUUUUCCCAAGGUCACAUACAUGGUCUCUUUCUUUUCUGAGAUACAAUAAUACUGAAGAAUAUUAUAUAAACUUAGUUGAUAAAGCAGCAGCAAAGCUUCCAGUUUCCCCAACCUUCAUCAAUCACCACCCAGAUCAAUCAACAACUAUUAACACGGAGGCAAGACCUUCCACCAGCAAAAAGAUUACAACUCACUACAGGCUUGGAUGA